GUCAAAGUCUUUCCAGCCUCUAACUGCAAUGCUCCAAGCUCAACGGUCAAGCAACUUUCUUGGCCGAAUUUUCCCUCAUAAAUUCUUACACCAAACAAGAACAUUCACUGUCUACUCUUCCCUCCUCAAUCUCUGCAAAAAGCCCCAGCACCUUCAACAAAUUCAUGCAAGAUUUAUCCUCCAUGGCCUUCACCAGAACACCACACUCUCUUCCAAAUUGGUCGACUCAUAUGCCAAUCUUGGCCUCCUUUACAUUUCCAAACAAAUCUUCAAUUCUAUCUCCAAUCCCAAUACCCUUUUGUACAACACAAUUUUGAGAAACUUGGCCAAGUUUGGCGACUUUAAAAGUACCCUUUUUUUGUACCAGAAAAUGUGCUUAAAUUCCAUACAUACUGAUGAGGAAACAUACCCAUUUGUUUUAAGUUCAUGUUCUUGCUUGUUGGACGUUGUAAAUGGAGAGGCGAUUCAUGGGCAUCUCAUAAAAUUGGGUUUUGAGUCAUUUUAUUUGGUGGAUACUGCUUCGAUGGAGAUGCAUAGGAGUUUUGGUGAUCUUGAGAACGAAGGAGAGACAAUUGAUGGGAAGUCCAUUAAUGAUUUGGAUUAUUGGAAUUGCUUGAUUUUAGAGACCUCUAAAAGUGGGAAUACGACGAAAAGUUUAUGGUUUUAUGAAAGAAUGAGCAUGGAGAAAACUGAGUCCCUCUCUGUUACUGUUGUUAAGUUGCUGAGGUCAACCGUUGAAAUGGGCUCAUUAAGGGCAGGAAGGGCUAUUCAUUGUAUGGUUGUUGUGUGUGGCUUAUGUGAAGAUUUAUCUGUGAAUACUGCCCUGCUAACAAUGUACUCAAAGUUGAGGGGUUUAGCUGAUGCAAGGUUAGUAUUUGAGAAAAUGCCUGAGAAGGACUGUGUCGUGUGGAACAUUAUGAUAUCUGCAUAUUCUCAAAAUGGUUAUCCUGAGAAAUCCGUAGAUUUGCUGAGAUAUAUGGCGAAAUCUGGGGUCAGAGCUGAUAUGUUUACCGCACUUCCUGCUGUUUCCUCCAUCAGGCAGUUGAAAUCUAUUGAAUUGGGCAAAGAAAUGCAUGCUCAUGUGAUAAGAAAUGGGUCAGAUUGUCAAGUAUCAGUUCCUAAUUCUCUUAUUGACAUGUUCUGUGAAUGUGAUUGUUUGAACUAUGCUCAAAAGAUUUUCGAAUUGUUGUCAAUUAAGACUGCAGCUUCAUGGAGCUCAAUGGUUAAGGGAUAUGUAAACCAUGAUCGGUCUCUUGAUGCUUUGUGUCUCUUCUCCAAGAUGAAACUUGAUGGACCUAGGGUCGAUUUCAUCACAGUUAUUAACAUCUUGCCUGCUUGUGUGAAUGUUGGGGCGUUAGAGCAAGUUAAAUACCUUCAUGGAUACUCAAUUAAAUGUUGUAUAACUAAGCUAGCAUCUGUUAAUACGGCUCUGCUUAUCAGCUAUGCAAAAUGUGGAUGCAUAGAGAUGGCAAGGAAGCUUUUUGAUGAGGAGACUGUCAACAAGGAUAUAAUCACUUGGAACUCAAUGAUUAGUGCAUAUGCCAAGCAUGGAGCCUCGUCUGAGUGUUUCAAUUUGUACAGACAAAUGAAGCAAUCAAAUUUAGAACCAGAUGAAAUAACAUUUCUUGGGCUAUUGACAACUUGUGUUAAUACAGGGCUUGUUAAAGAAGGGCAGGAACUUUUCAAGGAGAUGAUGGAGACCUAUGCUUGCCAUCCCAGCCAGGAACACUAUGCUUGUAUGGUUGAUCUACUGGGUCGUGCUGGCCAUGUCAAUGAAGCCAGGGAGCUCAUAAAGACCAUGCCCUUCAAACCAGAUGCACCGGUUUGGGGUCCUUUGUUGAGUGCCUGUAAGAUGCAGUCUGAGACUAAGCUUGCAGAGUUUGCAGCUGAGAAGUUGAUAUCUAUGGAACCAAGAAAUGCAGGAAAUUACAUCCUGCUGUCAAAUAUAUAUGCUGCGGCGGGAAAGUGGGAUGGAGUUGCUAAAAUGAGAAGUUUUCUUAGAGACAGAGGUUUGAAGAAAACACCUGGUUAUAGCUGGCUAGAAAUAAAUGGAUGUGUACACGAGUUUCGUGUUGCUGAUCGAUCUCAUCCAAAAGCGGAUGAUGUACAUGCUGUGUUAAGAAACCUAGAAUUGGAAAUCAAGGAAGCAAGAGAAAAAUUUGAACUAACCAUCUUGAAUGCUGAUUUUCUCCAUUUUUGGUGAAUUUCUUGGUUUUUUUCUUUAGCUAUGAUGUUUCAUAUUCGACUAGUUCUAAUCGAAACAAAAUCAACUAA
rnacentral:misc_RNA from 1 species